GACGUAGGGCGCGAGCGUUGUCCGGAUUUAUUGGGCGUAAAGAGCGUGUAGGCGGCCAUGCAGGUCAGCUGUGAAAACUCGAGGCUCAACCUCGAGACGUCGGUUGAAACCGCAUGGCUAGAGUCCGGAAGAGGAGAGUGGAGUUCCCGGUGUAGCGGUGAAAUGCGCAGAUAUCAGGAGGAACACCGGUGGCGAAGGCGGGUCUCUGGGCCGAUACUGACGCUGAGGAGCGAAAGCGUGGGGAGCGAACAGG
rnacentral:rRNA from 1 species